CAGUCGCCGCGGUAAUACGUAGGGUGCAAGCGUUAUCCGGAAUUAUUGGGCGUAAAGAGCUCGUAGGCGGUUUGUCGCGUCUGCUGUGAAAACUGGAGGCUCAACCUCCAGCCUGCAGUGGGUACGGGCAGACUAGAGUGCGGUAGGGGAGAUUGGAAUUCCUGGUGUAGCGGUGGAAUGCGCAGAUAUCAGGAGGAACACCGAUGGCGAAGGCAGAUCUCUGGGCCGUAACUGACGCUGAGGAGCGAAAGCGUGGGGAGCGAACAGGAUUAGAUACCCCGGUAGUCCCUGUCUCUUAUAC
rnacentral:rRNA from 1 species